rnacentral:rRNA from 1 species
GGGGAAUAUUGGGCAAUGGGGGCAACCCUGACCCAGCGACGCCGCGUGAGGGAAGAAGGCCUUAGGGUCGUAAACCUCUGUUGUGUGGGAAGAAGGAAGUGACGGUACCACACGAGGAAGUCCCGGCUAACUACGUGCCAGCAGCCGCGGUAAUACGUAGGGGACGAGCGUUGUCCGGAAUUACUGGGCGUAAAGGGCGCGUAGGCGGUCAUUUAAGUCAGCUGUGAAAUGGUCCGGCUCAACCGGAUCAUGCGGUUGAAACUGGAUGACUGGAGUGCUGGAGAGGCAAGUGGAAUUCCCAGUGUAGCGGUGAAAUGCGUAGAUAUUGGGAAGAACACCGGUGGCGAAGGCGACUUGCUGGCCAGCAACUGACGCUGAGGCGCGAAAGCCAGGGGAGCAAACG